rnacentral:tRNA from 1 species
AAUAAGAUGCCUGAUAAAAGGGUUAUUUUGAUAGAAUAAAUUAUGUAAAUUAAUUUUACUCUUAUUA